GCUUUGAAGUGUGGACGCCAGUCUGCAUGGAGCCGGCCUUGAAAUACCACCCUUUAAUGUUUGAUGUUCUAACGUGGACCCGUGAUCCGGGUUGCGGACAGUGUCUGGUGGGUAGUUUGACUGGGGCGGUCUCCUCCUAAAGAGUAACGGAGGAGCACGAAGGUUGGCUAAUCCUGGUCGGACAUCAGGAGGUUAGUGCAAUGGCAUAAGCCAGCUUGACUGCGAGCGUGACGGCGCGAGCAGGUGCGAAAGCAGGUCAUAGUGAUCCGGUGGUUCUGAAUGGAAGGGCCAUCGCUCAACGGAUAAAAGGUACUCCGGGGAUAACAGGCUGAUACCGCCCAAGAGUUCAUAUCGACGGCGGUGUUUGGCACCUCGAUGUCGGCUCAUCACAUCCUGGGGCUGAAGUAGGUCCCAAGGGUAUGGCUGUUCGCCAUUUAAAGUGGUACGCGAGCUGGGUUUAGAACGUCGUGAGACAGUUC
rnacentral:rRNA from 1 species